rnacentral:rRNA from 1 species
GACGAACGCUGGCGGCGUGCUUAACACAUGCAAGUCGAACGGUAAGGCCCUGCUUGCAGGGUACUCGAGUGGCGAACGGGUGAGUAACACGUGGGUGAUCUGCCCUGCACUUCGGGAUAAGCCUGGGAAACUGGGUCUAAUACCGGAUAGGAGCCAUUUUUAGUGUGAUGGUUGGAAAGUUUUUUCGGUGUAGGAUGAGCUCGCGGCCUAUCAGCUUGUUGGUGGGGUAAUGGCCUACCAAGGCGGCGACGGGUAGCCGGCCUGAGAGGGUGGACGGCCACAUUGGGACUGAGAUACGGCCCAGACUCCUACGGGAGGCAGCAGUGGGGUAUAUUGCACAAUGGGCGCAAGCCUGAUGCAGCGACGCCGCGUGGGGGAUGACGGCCUUCGGGUUGUAAACUCCUUUCGCUAGGGACGAAGCUUUUUGUGACGGUACCUAGAUAAGAAGCACCGGCUAACUACGUG